UACACUUUUGUUGCCCUACAGUUCACUUAACUAAAAUAUUACUGUGGAAAAUGAUGACAUCAUUUUGUGUGUGCUGUGUUGUAUAGUUAAUAGCAUUAUUUUAUCUAAAACAGAUAGUGUAAAUUAUUCUUGUGUCUGUGUUUGAUAUUGUAAAUUGCUGACAACCAAAGAGCAGAGUUGAAGGAUAUUUAGGACCUAGUUGGAGGGUCAGACUUCUGUGAACCAUCUGCUUUUUUCUCUUCUGUUUAGGUGAAGGUCGGAGUAAAUUGUGGUAGGCUGUAAACUGAUACAAAGUGAGGUGCAUAAGUAUAUUGUCCUGAGCCAGUGCUAAGGCUGCCUGAAGAGAUUAAGCUGUACAAAAAGAAAGGAGGCUAAGCACAGAGGUUGAAGUAGCAAGUAGGGUAUGAGGAAAAGCUCAAGACCUUCAUACGCACUUACUGGGUAGUAGGGAGAAUCUUAAUACAGUCUUCUCCCAUCAGGAGUUGUUUGAUGGCUUCUAUCUGUGUGUUAUGUUUUGCACAGAUCCUUUUGUAUGCAUUGUGUGGCAGAGAAUGUACUUGUGAACUUAACAAUACAUUGAGUAACACGGAAUGUACUUGUGAACUGAACAACAGUUUAUUUUUACCAAGAUGCCAGGGUUUUGCAGGCACUAGAAGAAGUUCAUAAAGAGUACACUUGCAGAUCUGUUCUUCUGCUGCUCAUGAUCAAAGAAAGAGAGGUUUUCUUCCAAAAUUUUGUUUCUAGAUAGUACUGUCAUUGGUGAGUUUGAUGGAUGAUUGAAGGUCUGACGGCAGUGUAAGUGGAUUUUCCCUUGAUGCAGAUACAGAGCCACAUAAUAAUGUAGUUGGUUGGGCUCUCGUCAUCUAGUCAAACUUGCCACUCAAAGGUAACAUCAAACUUAGAUCAGGUUGUCAGGGUCAUAUUGAUUUAAAUUUUUAAUUUCCUCAUGGAUGGAAAUUCCAUACAUUGCUAACUUGUCAUCUUAGGGCCCUGCAAGUCUUAGAACUCUUCAAAAUGAGCAGGUACCAUAAGGCCUCUAUAAGACCAGAACUUGCAUUUAGACUAAAGAUCUGUGAGCUCCUGAACAGGAAAAGCUGCUCUUUGUCUAGAUCUCAAUAGCUGAAUACAGUUAACAUAAAUCUUGUAGGUAGGUUUGUGGGCCUGCUGAAAAACAGGCAGUGAAAUGCCUAGUCUUCACCCAAGUACUCAUCUGCAUUGUUUCUGUUAAAAUCCUGUGAAAAGCAGGACACUUACUGUAAUGCUGGAUUAGAACAACACAGUUCCUGUGGAAUUAGAACAUUUCACAUCCACUCUGCUGCACUUCUGAGACCACAAAAAUGAGACCUUUUCAAGUCCUCUCUCAAUGAUUUUGGCAGUGCUGAAACUGUGGCCUCUCCCUGACUCUUCCGCCUUCAAAUGUGAAAUAAAGCAUAAGUGAGCAUUUGUUCCUGUCUGUCAACACACAUGUUUAGAUUAAGUUGGGAUUUAAACAAGAUACACUUUGUUUGACUAAAGAGAAAACAUCAGUAAAGCCAAGAAGUAAAAUAAAACACCCGUUACAGUAACUUUUAGGAGGACUAGACCUAUUCAUAGGUGUCUCCAGCUCAUACAGUUAGAAUGAAGACUCGCAAAUGUUGUGAACAUUUUUAUGGGAUUAUGGGAGUUGAAGAUGCACCUAGGGUGAUACUUUAAUGCAGGCUUUAAAAUGCAGAUUUGGUCAUUGGCACGUCAACCUUUGUGUGUCUUUGCUUUUGAUUUCCGUCUUUCUGUCUCUCUUCCAGCAUAUGGCAAUCUUCCCAGGAAAAAGACUGUUUUCUCCCCAAAUGCUUUUGUCUUUUUUCCAAGGAGGAACUUGCUUUACUGUAGCUUAAUUUAGUUUUAUUUCUGAAGAUAUCCUCUCAUGUAGUUGUCUGAUUGAGUGGGUUAGGUACAAGUUAGUUUUGGGUAUGAUUGUAUAUAUUCUUUGGACCAGUUCUAAUUUCAGGCUGCUUGGGUGUAUAUCCAUGUGUGUGUGGGGUGUUUUAAUGCCCAAACAGUCUCUGAGCAGAGGCCUUGCCAUGGCCAACCUCCCUCCCAGUUUAAUUGCUGAGCAUGAUGUCAUAUGGUGUGGAAUAUACCUUUAGUCAUUCAGGA